rnacentral:lncRNA from 1 species
UAUAAAAAGACAUAUGAUUCGUAAAUUUUACAUCUUAAUCGAACGGUGUUAGUAUAGCUAACUUUAUAGCAGAGUAAACAGAUAAUUCGAUAAUGUUUAUUGAAUGUUUUUUGAUUUUCCUACAAAUAUUGCAUCAGUCAUUUUGUGAAUCUUCAAGUUGCAAAUGGCCUCCUGAAUAUUUGGGUAUGUAAUACGUUAUCAUUGGUUCGAUUAGUAUAAUAAUUUAUGAGAUUUUUUUUUAACCAUUUAAGCGAGAGUAGUUGAUCGAUGUUCAAAUCAAUUAAAAUAAAUAAAAAAAGAUACAAAGCAACCUACAAAACAUUCAAUCCUCUGUCAUAAAGUGCAUUGAAUUUAAUAUCCAUUGAUGAAGAAAAUGUGCCGUCCUUUAUACAUAACACAAAAGAUUCUCUAUUAACAUUCUAAGAAUGUCGAUAAAUAAAAAAGAAAAAAGUACUAGUUUUUUAUCUUUUUUUCUUUUGUGUCUGCAUAUUUUUCUUAUCAUUUGCAUUGAUAAAUAGUUCUCCUUUUGGUUCCGUUAUGGUUUCAAUGUUCCAUUAAAAUAAACAAUCUGUGACUUGGGUUGAGAGUUGUCUCCUUGGCACUCAUACCACCUCUUAUAUCUACAGAGGCAGAAAAAUGAGAUUUUGUAGAUGAAGGUGUCAUACGUACAAAGGAAGGGAAACAGAAUGAAAAGAACGAUUCAUAUCCCGAACAGUUUUGAGUCAUUAGAGGUGGGGGUUACAAAAAUAUGUCAAACUAAGUCGGAAAACAAAUCAGUGGGGAAAGGCGACUAAAGGUUUCAGACCUCCAAUUAAAAACCCCUAUCUGUUCAACCAAUUUUGCAAUUUUCACAUCUUUCUAAAUAUUUUACCUCAAGUUUAACUUCAUUGAAACCAGGUUUAUCCUGAAUUUUACAUGUAUCACCUUACUACAUGCCAAUUUUCAAACCAUAUUUAAAAUCUUCUAAGAAAUUAUUGCCUUUGAGAAAAUAACUACUCAAAAAAAAAAAGAAACCUGGUUUUCUGGAAAUCUUAAAUUAGUAUACUAUGUAACGCAUUAAUCCUGAAUUUUUAAUGGCAACUCAUAGACAAGGGAUUUUUUUUGCUAAAAUGGUCUAGAUGUAUUUGUCUUUCACUAAAAGCUGUAUUUCUGCAAGUUUGUUGGUUAGUUUAAGUAAACAAUCACAUCAAAAGCACUAUUUUGUGUCAGAGUAGGGCUACUUUUACAUACGUUAUAAAUUUUAGAGGGUAAUUGGUGGUCUGACACAUAAAAGAUGAUCUUGAUCUGCAGAUAAGCUAACCAGUGUUUGUGGAAGCAUGUAUAAUGUAUGCCGAAGACGGUUUUGUAAGACAAAUAAAACGUAUUAAUCUUACAUGUUUGUAAUAUUAAGUUACUCUUCUCUUCAAGUAUACAUCACACAAUUUUGUGUGAACAACUUAAUAAUAAAUUAUAUAUAAAAUUAAUUAUUAGCAAUGUUUUCGUGAUAUCAAGUAGCUUUAAUGUUGUUUUAUUCUUGAGAUGAAACCUGCUUUGUAAGAAAAGAUGCAAUCUUAACAUGUCUUUUUUGCGUAAACAGUUAUCAUCUUCAGCAAUUGGUUAGGCCAAAAUAAACCCGAACGGUCCAAACUGGGUGUACUUGGUUAUGCUAAGCAGAGAGACAGCUAAUCGUUAAGCUUUUUUUAACAGAAAAUGCGUCACGUCUCACUAUAUGUAUAUAUGAGACAAGCAUGACUGUACUUAGUCGUUUUUUUCUUUCUUAAAAACUGUUACGAUAUCAGAUAAAUAGAUAAAUGAGUGGUGUGAGCAAUUUCUUCGAUAUGACAUGACUGUACUUAGUCGUUUUUUUCUUUCUUAAAAACUGUUACGAUAUCAGAUAAAUAGAUAAAUGAGUGGUGUGAGCAAUUUCUUCGAUAUGACAUGAAAAGAACAAGUUACUAGUAUAUUUGACAAAUUAAAUGUGUCCUGCUUAGUAAGUACUAAAGACGUCACAGUUAGACCAUCGCAUUUCAGCGUACACACCAACGUACUGCAGCGUAUCUAACAACAAGUAAGUGUCACAAUGUCACCAUUGCACUUCAGCCAGUUAACCAACGCACUUCAGCGUGGACCAUCGUACUUAAGCGUGACCAUCGCGGUUCGGAGUACCAUCGCGGUUCCGAGUCCUGCAUAUGUAUUAGAUGUUGAAUUAUAAAAAUUAGAUGAUUUACAGUUAUUUGAAAUAUCUGAUGGCAAAUACUAAUGCAAUGAUUUGUGUUACCAAACAAAAGCUAACACAAUGUAAGCAUUUUUUUCUUCUGAUUUUUUGCAAAUCUUGCGUCCCAUUAUCGAAAAAGCGAUGUCUGAUUUUGAUUUAAUUGAUGGAUCUAAUUUAACACACAAAAUGUUUAAAUAUAUUUACCCUUAGAGUAUUCAAAUGUUGUUCAUCUAGAGGCACGAUGGCAAACACCAGUGCAAAGCCAAAAAAUAUACAAAAAAAUAAACAAAAUAUAUAUUGAAAUAAACGAAUAGUUGGAUACACGAUAUAAGAUGUUGUAUCAGGUCAAAUAUCAAUAGGUACAGUUUUUAUAUAAAUGGUAGUAUGUGUCAUACUGUAUAUGCGAAAUAUAAAAUUCUAGGCAAUACAAUAAUUGUACUUUCUCAUAUCAUGAUACUCUUAUGUUUUCCCUUGCAUGUAUCGAUGUUCUACACAUAAAACAAACAUGUAAUAAUUGCAAACUGUGUAUGAUGCUUACAUUCCUGUGCAAGUUACUAUAUACUCAUUUAUUUCAAGUAUAAAUUUGUGUUAUUUAUAGUUUUCAAUUGAUUAACGAAAUCAUUUUCAAAAACAUCGGAAAAUCAGUUACUUUUACUUAACUAUAAAAACGACAUUACACUAUUUAAUUAUAUAGGUGCUCAACUGCAAACAGCUUUGGUAAAUACAUAUAUAUCAUUUCAACACUACAUCAUGUUCAUAUAAAAACACAUUUACAAAUGUUUUUUACGAUUAAUACUUAUGUCGACAUAUGCAGUCAUUGUCUUUUAUCUAUGGUUUGUGUUUAAUUUAUCUACUUUACCGGAUACGUUUAUAUAAAGACGUCCGAUACGGAAAGAUCAAUAUCGUAAUCCACCAGUAUCAUUAAAAGAGGGACACAAGAUACCAGAGAGACAGUCAAACUCAUAAAUCAAAAAUAAACUGACAACGCCAUGGCUAAAAUUGAAAAAAGGACAAACAGACAAACAAUAUUACAAAUGACACAACAUAGAACACUAAAGAAUAAACAACACGUACCCCACCAAAAACCAAGGGUGAUCUCAGGUGCUCCGGAAGGGUAAGCAGAUCCUGCUCCACAUGUGGCACCUGUCGUGUUGCUUAUGAGAUAAAAAGUCCGGUAAAUAGUCUAAUUCGGUAGGUUACAUUUAUGAAACGGAAGGGGAUUGUAGUUACGACGUAAGGAACAUAUCCGAUAUCAUUUGUGAAACAAUUAUUCCAUAACGGUCAACCAACUCGUGAUGGCGUCCGUGGUGGCAUUAAUGAUCACUUUACAGUUACAGUUAGGUAACUUGGUGUGUAUUUCCGAAACGACUUAUGUGAAUAAAAUUAGUAUAUCACUGUUGUUUUUAGUUAACAUGUUUGUAUACAGUAUGCAUGUAUGUUCCUUUUAUCAAAUUAUAUUUGUACAUUAUAUUUUGGGUUAAGUGUUAAUAACAUAAACGGUAUCAAUUUUUCCAAACCAGAUAUGCAUUUAGAAAAUCAAUAUCUUUUCAGAUUUGCUCGAGGCUAACAUAUUUCAAAAUCUAAAGAUUAUUAAAAGGAUGAAGAGCUACAAACAAAAAUGAUUAUAUGAUAUUAACGUAUAUAACAAUAAAUUAUUAAGAUAUACGACCAUAUUUAACAAUAUAUUAUUAAGAUAUAAGACCGUAUUUAACAUAUAUUUAUCUUUACUUAAAUUGUUCAAGCAUAUUUUCAUCAAAGUUCAAGCUAAAUUCAGAUUUAAUAAAGUGCAAUUUAAUCUUAUUAUCGUUUUGUAAUAACUAUGGUUUGCAAGGACAAUCAAUUGACCUCGAUAUGAGCUCAGAUUAAAUAGUUAAAUUAUGAUUUUGAAAAUAUUUCCUCAAUACAUAAUAGUUUUCAAAAGUACCAAGAUUAUAGUUUAGUACGCUAGACGCGCGUUUCGUCUACAUAUGACUCAUCAGUGACGCUCAUAUCAAAAUAGUUAUAAAGCCAAACAAGUACAAAGUUGAAGAGCAUUGAGGAUCCAAAGUUCUAAAAAGUAUAUGAAGGACAACAUGAGAAAAUAAUAGUAAAGGUCAAUGGAGCAAUAUAAGUCAAUAAAAUUUAGGAAAUAAUAUAAACUAUUGGAAAUGCAGAAUGUAAGGCGAGGUUUUCAUUUAUACAUGUUAUACUAAAUUACGACGUGUUGAGUGUCAUAAUACUACCAAAUCUAGUUCUGAUAUAUUGUAAAUAUAAGGUAUGUAGCUGUUUCUAAAAUUUCAAUAAAUAAUUUUGUAUGUUUGAUCAUUCCUCUAAAAUCUCAAAAAUGAAUGCAUGCAAUAAUUUGUGAACAUGCUGAAGUGACUGUAAGAUAAAUAUUAAAAAAAAAAUGAUGAACAAUAGUCUGCUUGUAUAUUUGUCACUCAAUUAUAUGGUUGGCAGAAUGAAAUCAUCCAGAAACUGAGAUUGAUUUAGAAAUAAUUUACCUACAUAAACUUAAAGACGUUUACCAUUACUAUAUGAUGGUUUUAAAUGUUUAACGAAAUUAUCUAUAACAACAUCGGACAAUUGUUUUCCUGUACAUGUAUUUAGCUAGUACAACGACAUUUCAAUGACCUUUUCUGUAAUAAGUGUAAACAAUUGUGGGUAAAAGGAAAUACUUCAUUAUUCUAUACGAAUACAUAGCUACACGUGGUUUAUUUUGAUUUAAGAUAUUAGGGAAUAAUGCGUGAAUUUUUUCAAGCAGUCAUGUUUGAAUGCUAUUGAUGUCCUGUAUUUUUACUUUAUGUCAAUAGAUACAAAUCAAACGUAUGAUACGACAAGAUCAACAUGUGAAAUCGACAUUAUUAUUAUUUCUCACGUUGUAGCGAACGAUAUUUUUGUGUAAUAUAGUUAACUAUUAUCAUGAUUAUAAAAAGACGUUUGAUAGGAAAAGAGUAACAUCUUAAUCCAAUACAGUUUAACAAAGUAAAAAACAUAUUUCGAUGAUGUCAAUUAUAUUUUAUCUGGUAUGCAAUCUGAUAUUUCACCAGUCAUUUUGCGAAUCUUCCAGUUGCAAAUGGCCUCAUGCGUUUUUAGGUAUGUACAGCUCUAAUUUAUUUUCAAUUGGUAUAAUUAAUCUAAAAUUGUUAUUUAGUCGACAGUAGCUCAAAUCUCGGAAAUCGAUUAAAAGGAGACAAGAAUAAGCUAACACAAACAUAACAAUAAAUAAACUUAUUGUUGAAAUUAUUUUCCUCUGAUGAUGCACAUGUGCUCUAUUAUAUAUAAUGUCAACCUCAUCAUACAUAUAUAAGCUUGGGAUACAAUGUCAAUACAAAACUUACAAAAUAAGAGUUCCUUUUUUUUCAAAUUAACACUUUGUUUUUAUUUUACUUUAAUUAUUUUUCUCAUAAAGUAUUAAAUUUAUAAUGUAGGCCUUGUCAUAUACUAUAAAACAAACACUUGUGAUCAUUUAUAUAAAGAAAAAUAACUAUAUAACGUAUCAUAAUCUUUUUAGAUGGACGUAAGUCUUUAAACAGAACUAUACUUGAAUGGACAACAUUGGAAACAUUAUUUCCUUUCAUGCGAAAUGGACACUACAAACCAAACUGUAGGCCUAUACAACGAAUAGCUAUCAUUGUACCAUACCGUGAAAGGGAAACUCAGUUAAAAAUAUUCUUUCUAAACGUAGUUCCAUUACUAUAUCGACAACAACUAGAAUUCGAUAUUUAUGUUGUAGAGCAGGU